ACACCGGCGGCCCGAGUGGUGAUCGUGAUUAUUGGGUCUAAAGGGUCCGUAGUCGGUUUGGUCAGUCCUCCGGGAAAUCUGAUAGCUCAACUAUUAGGCUUUCGGGGGAUACUGCCAGACUUGGAACCGGGAGAGGUAAGAGGUACUACAGGGGUAGGAGUGAAAUCUUGUAAUCCCUGUGGGACCACCUGUGGCGAAGGCGGCUGACCGGAACGGGUUCGACGGUGAGGGACGAAAGCUGGGGGCACGAACCGGUUUAGAUCCCCGGGUAGUCCCAGCCGUAAACGAUGCUCGCUAGGUGUCAGGCAUGGCGCGACCGUGUCUGGUGCCGCAGGGAAGCCGUGAAGCGAGCCACCUGGGAAGUACGGCCGCAAGGCUGAAACUUAAAGGAAUUGACGGGG
rnacentral:rRNA from 1 species